rnacentral:lncRNA from 1 species
AAAGGGUUAGGCGCCGGAGAGUUGGAGGCAGUGACGGUGGUUGGUAAAUUGGGGAUCGCAGGAGUUGAAAAAUUAGGGAUUGGAGUGAAUAAAUUAUUUUUACUUUUGUAAACAGUGUAAUAAAAGAAGAGUAAGUGUAAAAGAGGGAGAAGUAAAGUAACUGAACGAAUUGUGGAGUUAGAGUUAGAGAGUUAGACAGUUAGAGGAUUGUUUAGU